rnacentral:rRNA from 1 species
UACGUAGGGGGCAAGCGUUGUCCGGAAUGACUGGGCGUAAAGGGAGUGUAGGCGGCCUUUUAAGUUAUAUGUGAAAGCCCCCGGCUUAACCGAGGAACUGCAUAUAAAACUGGAGGGCUGGAGUGCAGGAGAGGUAAGCGGAAUUUCUAGUGUAGCGGUGGAAUGCGUAGAUAUUAGGAAGAACACCGGAGGCGAAGGCGGCUUACUGGACUGUAACUGACGCUGAGGCUCGAAAGCGUGGGGAGCAAACA